rnacentral:rRNA from 1 species
UACGUAGGUGGCGAGCGUUGUCCGGAUUUACUGGGCGUAAAGAGCGCGCAGGCGGUCGUACAAGUCGCGUGUGAAAGCCCCUGGCUCAACUGGGGAGGGUCACGCGAUACUGUUCGACUCGAAGGCAGGAGAGGGAAGUGGAAUUCCCGGUGUAGUGGUGAAAUGCGUAGAUAUCGGGAGGAACACCAGUGGCGAAGGCAGCCUUCUGGGCCAACACUGACGCUCAUGCACGAAAGCGUGGGGAGCAAACAGG